rnacentral:rRNA from 1 species
GACGAACGCUGGCGGCGUGCCUAAUACAUGCAAGUUGAGCGAUGAAGAUUGGUGCUUGCCCCAAUUUGAAGAGCAGCGAACGGGUGAGUAACGCGUGGGGAAUCUGCCUUUGAGCGGGGGACAACAUUUGGAAACGAAUGCUAAUACCGCAUAACAACUUUAAACAUAAGUUUUAAGUUUGAAAGAUGCAAUUGCAUCACUCAAAGAUGAUCCCGCGUUGUAUUAGCUAGUUGGUGAGGUAAAGGCUCACCAAGGCGAUGAUACAUAGCCGACCUGAGAGGGUGAUCGGCCACAUUGGGACUGAGACACGGCCCAAACUCCUACGGGAGGCAGCAGUAGGGAAUCUUCGGCAAUGGACGAAAGUCUGACCGAGCAACGCCGCGUGAGGGAAGAAGGGUGUCGGAUCGUAAAACUCUGUUGGUAGAGAAGAACGUUGGUGAGAGUGGAAAGCUCAUCAAGUGACGGUAACUACCCAGAAAGGGACGGCUAACUACGUG